CAGGGACGGAGCCCGGCGGGAAAGUGAAGAUCGGGGCCUCGUCACCAGCAUCGAUAAAUGUCACCUGACCCCGGUCACAGUCCAGACAAACCCGGAUCCUGCUGGGGGCCCGGCGCCGGGGCAGGAGGGUCACAGGGGAGAGACAGGACCAUGCUGGGGUCAUGGUGGAUGGAGAGAGGAGAAAAGAGACAAGCCCCCAGCGGUGAUCACAGGAGCUUCCUACAUCUUUAUAAUGGAGCCAGGGGAGCCCCUGUCUGUGAUCAAGGCUCAGUUCCUCUGCUUGAGACAGGAGCAAGGGUCUCACACAGACACAGUCCCUGCUCACCCAGUCAGUGUGGGGUCACUGCAGAGCUCCUGGCUUUUUUCACAGGGGAAAAGAUGAAGGAAGAAACAAAGGGACACUGGAGAUCGCACAUCAGAACAGGGAGACAGAACAAACUCCCCCUGGAGACGUGGCUGUGGAGGUGCACGUCCCACUGGUUCUGUACAAGGGGUGGCAGCGGCUGUCACAGAUCUCUGCAGGGUGCAGUGCACAUGCCAGCGGUGGAGGGGCAGGAAGCGUAGGUGCAAUAUGCUAUGGAUUCAUUAUGGUGUGAUAGGACAUAGGCACAAACCCCACCUCACCUUGUGACGCGCUGUGAAAUGAAGGGUGCUGGGUAGGUCUGCCCUGAACUAUCACGUCCACUCCCAUAUACAAAGAAAAAGGGGCACAUUGCCUCAUGGGAACGGAUAUUUGGACAUUGAUAAAAUAUGAUCUUUAAUUACCUUCUUCUAUAGGUGCCACGGAUCUUCUCCACCCUAAAACCAGCAACAUAAUUAGAGAGGAGAGCAGAUCUGAACACGUAUUGCAUAAUCCAAUAUUGUACAAACUAAUACACUGAGGGAAAAAGAAAGUUAUAAGUUCAUCAGAACCUCCACUGGACUGCAUGUGUGUGUCUCUCCCAGGGUGGAUCUUCACUGCAGAGUUAGCCAAAAUCUUACCUGGCCGUUGCCCCAACCUGUUUAAUGCGCAAGCACAAAAACUCUGACUCAAGUUUGGUGGUGCUUUGCACCCAGGUUAGCUGGCAAGACAUUGGGUAGAAGCUAGAGCCCAG